rnacentral:rRNA from 1 species
CCUACGUGUGGCAGCAUUAGGGAAUAUUGCUCAAUGGUGGAAACCCUGAAGCAGCAACGCCGCGUGUAGGAUGAAGUUUUUAGGAUUGUACACUCCUUUUGUGAUAGAAGAUACUGACUGUCUCUCACUCAUAAGCACCGGCUAACUCCGUGCCAGCAGCCGCGGUACUACGGAGGUUGCAAUCGUUACUCGUCAUCACUGUGCGUAACGAGUGCGUAGGCGGGAUGCCACGUCAUCGGUAAAAAUGCGGUGCUCAACGCCGUCGAGCCGGUGAAACUGGCGUUAGUGAGGGGGCGAGAAGUAUGCGGAAUGCGUGGUGUAGAGGUGAAAUGCAUAGAUAGAACGUAGAACUACGAUUGCGAAGGCAGCAUACCGGCGCCCUACUGACGCUGAGGCACGAAAGCGUGGGUAUCGAACAGGAUUAGAUACCCUAGGAGGC